GAUGAACGCUGGCGGCGUGCUUAAUACAUGCGAGUCGAGCGAACGGACGAGAAGUUUGCUUUUCUGAUGUUAGCGGCGGACGGGUGAGUAACACGUGGAUAACCUACCUAUAUGACUGGGAUAACUUCGGGAAACCGGAGCUAAUACCGGAUAAUAUCUUGAACCGCAUGGUUCAAUAGUGAAAGUCGGUCUUGCUGUCUCUUCUCGCUGGAUCCGCGCUGCAUUAGCUAGUUGGUAAGGUCACGGCUUAGCAAGGCAACGAUGCGUAGCCGAAGUGAGAGAGUGGUCGCCGACAUGAGAGGGUAGACGGCGUCCAGACUCCUACGAGAGGCAGCAGUAGGGAAUGUUACGCAGUAGGCGAAAACAUUGCGGAACGACGCCGCGUGAGAGGUGGAGGUCUUCGGAGCGUAAAACUCUGUUAUGAGUGGUGAACAUAUGUGUAAGUUGCUGUGCACAGCUUGACGGUACCUGGUCAGGAAGCCACGGCUAACUACGUG
rnacentral:rRNA from 1 species